AAUAAGAUGAUCUAUUAAUAAAGUAUAUGUUAGUAUUGUAAUUAUAUAUGUUGCAAAAUGUAUAUAAAAUAUUUUUAUAGGGGUGAUAGGCUAUUCAAAUUUUAUGAUAUCUUGAUAAUUAUUAAAAGUAUUUAGUACUUAAUACAAUUAAUAAGUGAUAAGAUUUAUUAAAGUAAUAAAUUUUUAUUAUAUUUUUAAUAAUGACGAAUUAAUUUUUUACAUUUAAUUAUAAUAUUAUUAUUACUUAAAAAUUUUUUAUUUUAAUUUAAUAAUUAAUAGAAAAAUUAAUUAUUAUUUAUAUUUAUAAUGUUAAUAUUAGUAAUUGAAUCAUCAAGAUAAUUUUGUUUAAGGAACUCGGCAAGAUGUAUUUUGUUCAACUGUUUAUCAAAAACAUAGCUUAAUGGAUUUAAUAUUAGGUUGGUUCUGCUCAAUGAUUGAUUUAAAUAGCCGCAGUACUUUGACUGUGCGAAGGUAGCAUAAUAAGUUGGCUUAUAAUUGAAGUCUGGAAUGAAUGAAUUAAUGGGUAUAAACUGUCUUAAGUAAAUAUUAAUUAACUUUCUAAGUAAGUGAAAAUUCUUACAGUAUAUUAUAUUAGACGAGAAGACCCUUGAAAUUUUGACGAUAUAGUAUUUCAUUUAAUAUUAGUAGUUUUUAUUGGGGCAAUAGAUUUACAAUAUAACUAAAUUUAUUAAUAUAUUAAUAAUGUAACGAAUAUUUAUUAAUAAAAAUUAAAUUACUCAAGGGAUAACAGCGUAAUUUUCUAAUAAGUUUGUGACCUCGAUGUUGGAUUAGGAAAGUUUAAGUUUAGAAGAUU
rnacentral:rRNA from 1 species